GUCAAGUCAUCAUGGCCCUUAUGUCCAGGGCUACACACGUGCUACAAUGGGCGGCACAAAGCGAAGCAAGUCCGCGAGGACAAAGCGAACCGCCGAAAGCCGCCCGUAGUCCGGAUUGAAGUCUGAAACCCGACUUCAUGAAGCUGGAAUCGCUAGUAAUCGCGCAUCAGCAUGGCGCGGUGAAUACGUUCCCGGGCCUU
rnacentral:rRNA from 1 species